CCCGCACAAGCGGAGGAGCAUGUGGUUUAAUUCGAUGAUACGCGAGGAACCUUACCUGGGCUCGAACGUAAGAUGACUGUAGGUGAAAGCUUACAUCUCUUCGGAGCAUUUUACGAGGUGCUGCAUGGUUGUCGUCAGCUCGUGCCGUGAGGUGUCGGGUUAAGUCCCAUAACGAGCGCAACCCCUACCUUUAGUUGCCAUCAGGUUAAGCUGGGGACUCUAAAGGAACUGCCUACGCAAGUAGUGAGGAAGGCGGGGAUGACGUCAAAUCAGCACGGCCCUUACGUCCAGGGCUACACACGUGCUACAAUGGCCGAUACAGAGGGCAGCUACCUGGUGACAGGAUGCAAAUCUCCAAAGUCGGUCUCAGUUCGGAUCGGAGUCUGCAACCCGACUCCGUGAAGUUGGAUUCGCUAGUAAUCGCGCAUCAGCCAUGGCGCGGUGAAUACGUUCCCGGGCCUU
rnacentral:rRNA from 1 species